AUUCUGUUGUGACUGUUAUUCCAGUAACUGUCAUUUUUAACUGUUUUCUGUUUUUCUCUGUGUAUUUCUGAGCAAUAAUAGCUACUGAGAGAGGUUUCUCUGGAUACUGCUAAGGACAGUUUUGUGUCACGUGUGAUCUGUGUGAAGAGGAAGAUCCCUAAACGUUAAGAGGAAGAAACCUGGGUAGGAGCUCUCCAUAAGGAACAAAGUGAAUAAGCGUUAGAUUGUAAAUAUAUUCUCCUCAGAAAUGAAAGUAAAGUUCUUUUGAAAACAGUAGUACCUUGGUGUCAGGGAACUGACAUCGGAGCGAGAGGCGAAGGGGAGGCUCCUAGAUGAUGCUGGUGAAGGACCCGGCAGCAGGGGGAGAAACAGCUCAGUAGAGGGGGAAGCAAAUCAGCGCAACACCAGGGAUAAAGGGGGGCAGAUGGGGGAAUCGGAGAGAGGGCUCCAGGACUCUUCACUGGACCUCAGUGAGGAGGGGACAGGUCCUCAGCUACCCACGCCCUCCCUGCGCAGAAGACUCCCGCGCAGUGAGAGGAGGAGGAGACUGGGUGUCAAACAACUUUUAUGUUGGAAGAGGUUCAAGAAAAGCCCACUGACGGAUUCUGCCAGCGACUGAGGCAGCCACGAUGAGAAAGGGCUGUGCAGUCAGAAAGGUUUAACAAGGCUAAUUAGCCUAGAGAGGCACCAGUUUACGCACGAGUAACUCAUACUCAUUACACUUGGUAGUCAAACAGCUUGGCUCCCAAACAAACUGGCUCCUGAACGCUGCAAACUCGGAAAUGAAUGUUCCGGUUUGCGAACAUUUUUCGGAAGCCGAAUAUCCGACGUGGCUUCCGCGACUUCCAAUUGAGUGCAGGAAGUUCCUGCAGCCAAUCAGAAGCAGCGCCUUGGUUUUCAAAUGGUUUCAGGAGUUGAACAGACUCCUGGAAUGGAUUGCGCUGCUUCGUACUCAUUUAGUUGUUUUUGGAUUUCCACACACUACCAGAAGUAGACUUUUUUCCUACUUCUGCAAACAUUGGGUCUCCACUGAGCAUGUUGAUAUCUCCCUUUUCUUUUUCAGUAAGCCUGUUUUGGCUACAUUGUCAUAGUUUGCUAUUAACAUAUUUUUAGAUUCAUUUACCAAUCCACAGAAUGCUUUAUGAAAUGGAAGGUUAUGUGGAAAGUGAGCCCUCUUUUUUCCACAGGACAUUUAAUAUACCACAUGCUAAUCCACAUUCCUAUGCACACAUCUCACCAUUUGGGUAAACAAGAGGCACUGUCACAGAUGAAGAACAUGCCAAAGCAGCCACGGAGGGCAUGGAACAUGGCUGGUGAGAAGUGUGGCCUCAGCAGAGUUCAAAGACCCAGAGAAUGAGACAGAAGAACAGAAACCUCUUUUGCAGAGGAAGAAAUAUUUCAAAAAACUGAACAACAACCAGAAAGAGACUUGGACACUGGGGUGAUCAAAGCUUUGGGGGUUAUGAGGCCAAAAUUGCCUGAAGGAGUGCUGUCAGUUGAAAGGGCAUGGCAAGCGUUCACAGAACUAUGACUCACAAGUCUUUUUGUUUUCUCAUUGCAUACCUGAUAAAUCAUUACAGUAGAAAUGCAGGACCUGGGACUUGAAUAAGUACCUGUUGCAUUAUCCUUAAGCACGCUGCAUUGUACAGGGAUUAUUUAUUGUAUUGAAUUAGCUUGCUUUCAGACAUCUGCCAGAAACUUCAAACAUUCAAUUUGCUCUAAUAGAUAUGUGCAAAAAGAAGAAAAAGAAAGAGGUCCUACAGAACUCCUUAAAAGCAUGAAUGCAUUCUAAAAUCUCCAUUCUGUACAUCAGCUUAAUACUGUUGUUCAGAUCAUUACAUCUGGUAUAAGAAAUUCUGUCUGCAUCACAUUUUAUUGAGGGUGAGGAGGAUGGCAUUGGUUGCUUUAGAUUUAAAUUGAUUAAUUGUUUUGACUUAUUUUACAUCUUUAGAAUUUAAAUGUUGUAUUUUAUUGAUCAGUUGUAAUCCACCUAAAAGCUGGGCUAAAAAUCCAAAUUUCUGUAUAUGUGUAUGUGCAUAUACAGGUGAUAUAAAAUAUAAAAUGCCAUUACUUUUUGUAGUUGUGAAAUGGUUAGGGUUGUCAUAUUUUGAACAGCAAGAAAGAAGACACAUUUGCCAACUUCUACUUUUAACUAUACUUUUAACUAAUAUGGGGAACGCGGGUGGCGCUGUGGGUUAAACCACAGAGCCUAGGUUUUGCCGAUCAGAAGGUUGGCGGUUUGAAUCUCCCUUUUUUCGGUCCCUGCUCCUGCCGACACAGCAGUUCAAAGAACGAAGUACAAGUAGAUAAAUAGGUACCCCUCCAGCGGGAAGGUAAACGGCAUUUCUGUGCGCUGCUCUGGUUCGCCAGAAGCGGCUUAGUCAUGCUGGCCACAUGGCUGUAUGCCGGCUCCCUUGGCCAAUAAAGCGAGAUGAGCGCCGCAACCCCAGAGUCGUCCGCAAGUGGACCUAAGAGUCAGGGGUCCCUUUACCUUUACCUUACUUUUAACUAUGGAUCGCUAUGACUAUUCUCAAUUUACAUACAUGUGAAAAAGAGGAUGUGCCCUGGAAAAAGAGGACAUAUGGCAACCCUAGAGAUGGUUUAAAAGAUUUGCUUCGUGAGAUGGAAAACACACUAAUGACACCCCCCCCCAGCAAUGUGUGAAAAGCAUAAUAAUACACUAAAUAACAGAGUAUGCUGCUUUUUAGUAGUACUAAAGCUAGCAGCCUCACUUUGUCUAAUGGUAAUCUUGGCCCUGUUUCAUCCCAUAAAGUAUGCUCAUGUUGUGUGACCAUACAUGCACUCAAGUGCACACACAGUCACACACAGUAUUAAAAUGGUGCUCUCCUGUAUAAGCACAGCCAGAUUAUACUAGAAGAUAUUAGAGUCCUGAUUUGUUUGUAGCAAGAAAUAAAUAAUAAUAAUAAUAAUGGAGAUAAUAAGCAGUUUUAGGAAGGGAGUUUGGGGGGAAAUGGAAAAAGAAAUUUUAAAAAAUGGUUUUCAGUUAUACCCUCUAUUUAUAAAACUGAAUGAAUGUACUUUCUAUGACUAGAGUAAAAGAAUACCAAGCUUUCGACUAGCCGUCUAUUUGAAAUCAUGGUGCUGCAACUGCAGAGUAAAAGGGACUAGGUGCAAAUCCUGAAGGACAAGAGAUGGGUUUAUUCCUUAAAAUUUGCUAGUACAGUCUCAGAUAUCACGAAAAAGCAUUUGAUGCCUUAUCAACGUCAUGCCAAGCAUUUCCCAAAGCACCCUGUGUUGCCUUGUAAUCGUUUAGGUCAGACCCAUUGUUAACACCCAGCAUGGCCUGAUAUGUGUUGGGGCCCAUAGUCCAAAGGAGACCCACUGGGGCUGAUGCCAUCAAUCAUUUAACUCUUAUUUGAAUCAGCUAUUAUUUGGAUUAGCUAUUUCACCUCGACACUCGGAGAAACGCUGAAUGAAGCCACCUGCAGCUGCCACCACCAUCUCAAUUACUGCCAAAUACCUCUGGAUCAGGCACUGAGGGGCGAUAAAGAUGGUGGGUGCUGCUUGCACCCACUUCCCUUGGACCCUGGAGUGAACACCCCUGCCAGCUUCUGGAAGUGCCCUGGUAAGAUUAUGAAGGGGCAGGCUGCAGGCAGGGAUGGGCGGUAUUGCUUAGAAGGCUACUGCAGAAAAAGCAACCACCACUGCCUUAACUUCUCAGAAAAAGCCCACUAGGGUUGCACUAUGCAGAACACAUAUUUAACAUAUUCCUUCUAUAUCUGUAUUUAAAAUUAAUAAGAAAUAUUUUACACAUUUCUUUAAGUUGCAUUGUACGUAGCAAUGGCUCUCUUACUGUUCUUUUUAUCUGGCUGAUAUUUUAAUACACCAACAAUUCACCAAUAAGAAUGGCUUAACAGAAAAAAAACCAAAUCAUUGAAAUGGCUGCAGUGCUUUUGAGGAGUUGGGGGUGCCACACUGUGCUUUCCUGCUUCUUUGAUGAAAUUAUUAGCCCAUCAGGGAGUCCAUGAAGUACAAUGAUAUCUGAAAGUUUCAUCUGACCUGUGCAUGUGCACCAAGAUUAUUUUCUUAUUUAAAAAAAGACAAAUUCAAUACAAAUCCGAUUUAGCAAGGAGAUCCAAAAUUCAAAAUAAAAUUAAAAGUUUAUUUUAUCAUGCACUUUGUUACAUUAAUAGCAAGCUACAGUUGUAAGCUCAUGUUAGAGCAAAUUGGAUCAUCCAUUAUUUAAUUUUGUUGUGUGUGUUUUUUUUAUAAAAAAACAGAGUAAAUUUUGUAUUGGAUUACUUUCCAAGAAAAUCAAUAAAUCACUUGUGCAUGCAAACUGAGCUGCAGACUUAAGAAAGCUGCAUUUACUUAAUGAUUGCCGCUUGCCUUUAAUUAUUGUUGUGAAGAAUGCUUCUGGUUUUACUUGAAAGAGCAAAAUGAAGAUGAAAGUGUCCUCUGUGCGCCACUCAUUUGUGUAUUAACAGCAGCAUGGCAUCUCCCGCAAUACAUAUCAAUCAACUGCUUGUUCCUUUGGGGCAUCCAUAUAUACGGCUCCGUCAACGAGGGCUUCAGGGCAGUUUACAAAUUUAAAGGGAUAAAAUACAGCUGAAAGUCAGCAAUUCAGAAAUACAAAGAAAACAAGAAAACAAGGCAUCUCUGCUCCCUUUCAAAAGUGACAGCAAGUUGGAUCCUCCUAACAGAGGGUCCAUGUUGUGAUCAGACCUGGAACUCUUCUCCAACCGGCUUGUGGGCGGGGCUUGCCCCACUCCAAGCCGGUGGUGUCACAGUUAUGCCAAUGGCCUUUAGCCAAUCAGCAGUGUGGCAAGGUUGAUUGGCAGCGCAACAUAGGGACCUCCUUUUGCUUCGCGCUGCCAAACACUCGCCUGCCCACCCGUUAAUUAGGUCGUGUUUGGCCUUGCUUUGGACUUCGGUUGGACGCCUGUUUUGGAAUGGGGGCUGGGUAGGAAUUUUGUCCAAUCUGGCAGAUUGGCUGUGGCCACUUGGUUUUUGCCUACCUCUUAGCAAUCGUCACAACUUUGUAAGGUUUGGUGGUUAGGCAUUGGUUUAGGGAAAUGUGGGGAGGGGAGGUGUGGCCAUCACCUGCCCCUCCAAUGAAUAGGGUAUUCCUUUAAAGGAAUCUGGGGGUCUGGAUCUCGUCUGAAGCCCAGAGGGGGGCUAGGGCUAUGCCAGGACCCCCGAGAACCCCAGGGGUGAGCAUCAGUCAAUAUACUUUGAUGGAGCUUCCCCUGCUGGUAGUUUACCCUUUCAUGCUUCCUGCAAGGUGGGGCAGGAGCCAGUUAUAGUUUUGAUACCAAUGCCUAAGUCAAUACCAGUCACACUUGUGUAUUUAAUAAAGUUGUGGCCAAAAUUUGCCCAUUAACAUUUAAACUAAAUUCUGUCUCCACUGUGUCUUUAUUUCUUUGGGGGAUGGGUUUUGGGGUUCGGAGCACAAAGCUGACUAACCAACAUUUGACAUUAAAAGAAGCCCUAGGUGUUCUUGAGAAAGGAAAACAGUGACCUGGUUUGCAUAUCAUGGUAAGCCAAAUUGUGGCUUACUAGAUUAGUAAAUUUGCUGCCUCCAAGCUUUGCCCGUUCCUGGUCCUUUUAGCUUGGUGCGGUGCGGUGCGGUAGCUGAGCCAACAUUUGAACCCGUCUGAACCUGAGCAUGUGCUUAAACUUAAUCACAAUUGCAGGUUGGUUUAGCGGCUGCACUGCGCUGAACUAAAAGAAUCAAAAAGGAUCAAAACUGGUGGAAGCUCCUUCCUAUGAGCCUGCACAUUAUUUGUUGCUAAGACAUGGUUUGGUUUGGCAUUGCCUUCUAAAUACAACAUGAUAUCACUUCAAGAGAUCAAAAAUAAAAGUAGAAGGAUUCAAGGACAUUCUCAUUAACAGAACAGAUAAAACAAGCCUUUAAAUCUCUCCCCAAUUCUCUUCCUUUUUCCCCCACUGCAGUUUCAAGCUUACACGUUUGCUUAGGUUUUGAGAGAAAAAGUCAUCUUCAAACUUUAUAAAAUAUUUAUUAGCAAGCGUUUGGAAUAAAGAAACCUGGGUAAAAUAAUACAAAUUGGGUUAAAAUUGUCAAUCUACACACACAAAAAUAUGUGGUUCCUGGAGGUCUACCACCAAUUUUCAAACUCACAAAGUACAGACGUUUCUAGAAAGCAUGUUCAGAACUAUUCCUCACUUAGGGUGAUUUGAAAAGAAGAAGAAUUUAUGCCUUUUAAAAUGGCAUGAAUCAUGGAUUAACAAUGAAAUAAAAACUAUCACUCAUUUUUCUUUUCAUACAAUCACAGAAAGAAGAACCACAAAGUUAUGCAAAAGAAUCAUCAGCCAGAAAAGGUUCAAUAUCAAAGCAUUUUUCCUGCAGAGAACUUUUUUAUGCUCUUCGUAAGUAGGAGUAGCAUUAGGCACUUUGGGUAUCAUAUCCCUCUAUUCAGAGUAAAGUUCAUUUCCAUUUGCAGUGUCAAUGUCAUAGAAACAAUGAUGGGGGGGGGGAAUGAAAGCCAUUGAUGCUACAAAAGGGUAAAUUAAGAAUCAAAAUAAUGCUCUCUGGUGAAAUAAAAUGCAGUUAGGAGGAGAACCUUGAACUUAGCAGUAGUAUUUGCACCAUUCUCCAUAUUAGGAUGAGGCUUGUUAUGCUGCUUUCUCUAAAUAAGUAAUGCUUUUCCUAAAGUUGCAAGAAAAACAUUAAAAUAUUAUCCUACUUAAUGUGGCUUACUCUUAAGAUAAAAAUUAUGAACAGGAUUGCAGCUUAAAGGAGGGACACAAAAAGAUAAAUGCAGAUUAAUUUAUGAGAAUAGCAGGACACUUUUAAAAUAUAAUUAUUUUGCAUUAUUUUUCCAAAUUAUUACAAAUCAAACCAAAUUAAUUUAAUACAAUUUCUUAAAAUCAGGUUUCCCACUCCUGUUGCAAACAUAUGUCAUUUCCUCCCGUAGCUGCAUCAUUUCUUAUCUAGUGUCCAGUUGUCAUCCUUUACUUGCCGUUAAACCAUUCUUCCAGCUGACUGUUUUUUCCUCCUUACAAACAGUGCCUCUUUUACAUCUUAUAAAUAUAAAAUUUAGUUCAUGUGUGUAGUCCUUCAUAUACAUUUUUGUUCCAGAGCAGGUGUGCUUAGAGAGUUCAUUACUAUCUUCCAUCGUUCACUUGUUUGCGGUGUUUAUCUGGAUGGUCCAGGAUCACAUUCCAUUCCUUCCACUGUUUACAGCAGGCAUCCCCAAACUCGGCCCUCCAGAUGUUUUGGGACUACAAUUCCCAUCAUCCCUGGCCACUGGUCCUGUUAGCUAGGAGUGAUGGGAGUUGUAGUCCAAGAACAUCUGGAGGGCCAAGUUUGGGGAUCCCUGGUUUACAGACUAGCAUACAACCUGCAGCCAUAAAUAACUCACAGGGUGCACUUCCAGGCUUCCACUAUUAAAUUCCCCUCCACAGUUCUUUCUCGGCACACAGUUAAGAGCAAGAUCUUUUCUCAAUUCAGCCUCUUUUCCACAUCUGUUCAGCUGCAGUUCAUUCUCCCCCCCCCCCCCCGCUCACUGCAUUCCUCUGACAACACCCCAGUCCAGAAAUGGUCAUAGAUAAAAUCCAUUCAGCCUUGAUCGAGGGCAGGCAUAGCAAAACCUUAUUAAAUUUCUUAUUGAGCAUAAAUCAAAAGCCUCUCCCCUCUUUUUCAAAGUGUCAGACAGAGUAACAAAUCAACAGCCACACACAUCUCUUUCAUUGUGCAGGGGAGGACAACAGAAAACAAACCAUAAGGAAGCACAAAGCUCCUUGUCAUCCCCCUUCCUUUCCUGGCUGUUGUAAGAAUUCUCAAGCUUCAGAUAAAAACAUUCAAAUAUCUUCAGAAAGCCAAGCCCAGUACUUUCGGCAGCUGAUUGAUUGCAGCCCAUAAGCAUAUGUUGGUCCAGGAGUGCCUCUUGAUUAAAGCCAACUGUACAGAUUAAGAAGGAACCAUCCACAAAUCAUGCCGGUAACAAAGGCUCGUCCAUGGCAAGGGCACACUCCUGGUUUGCACCCACUCUGCCUUUCAAGUCGGCAGACGUGGGGUUGCGCAGCACUGUGUGAUGCAGUGAACUCCCCAGACCACACUGAGGAGUAUCACGAUGAUUUAUGCCUCAUAAAUUCUCCCUUUCCCCACCUGAAUUUCCCUGCAGCCCACAGAGCGCUGUGAAGAACAGCCGCCAUUGACUCGUGACGUAGCCGGAAACCUAGCAGGACAGUCUUGAGACACUAAUGUGUUAGUGCGAGUUAACCAGCAGGGGCACCAAUUUACAUCAGGGUGGAGAAGAUUUGCAGCAUGGUUAAAAGGACUACCCUUGAUAGGUUCAAUAUUAAAUUGGAAAAUAAACAUGCUUUUAAAAAGCAUGUGUUGUGGAUGUUUUUGUGCCUAAUAAUAAUAAGAGAGAAAAAAUACUUCUCAGGAGUGACAUAUGGUCCAAAACACGGUGGGGUCAGAAACUGUGCCCCACCCCACCAUUGUGCCCCAUUAACAUGGCAAGAUUGUUUUGAAGAACAGCCUCAAAAAAAUCAUCCAGCAUUGUCAAAACUGUUGCUCUCAGCACAAGCAAGUAGCCGCCUAGUUUUUUGCCCUAAUGAAAGAACUCAAAUUAACACCAGAGAUUUUCAACACAUGUGUUUAUUAUUCAGGGCUGAGUCAGUGUGUUCCACCACCCAAAAAACUCAUGUGGCGAACCCAUUGAUGGGGAGUAGCAUCUGAAUGCCUUUGCGUAUGAAGGCCCUGAGAGGCCAAAAGGCCCUGCAGGCUAGGAAAAUGAUCUGGCCUGCGAUAGGCUGGUUUACCAGGGAGGCCCAGGGCCCACCAACAAAACCACCAACCAGAUAAGGGGGCGAAGGGACUUCUCCCUUGAAACAGUUCAGUAGCUCAUAUAUAACAUUGACAUGCCGGAACCAAGGUGGCUUGGAUUAUUAGACAAGGCAGGAUAUAUAUUUCUUUAAAAUAAAUGUAUACAGUUGUAAUUCUAAUGGGUUGAUAAAUACUUUUUAGAUGCAUUGUAAUGCUAGGAUGUUAGGAUAAGCAGUCAAGCUAGAGCUCUUCAAAUGAACAUUAUUCUGUUUUGCAAGUAUGAAAUGAAACAAUAUCUGCUUAGUUGCCCAAGAAAGUAGCUAAUUAGGAAGCUAAACCUGAGCAGCUAAUAGUUAGAAUCUAAAGUCUGGAAUGGUCUGCUUGAAAGGUCUUUGAUUCUCAGCUGUUUUCUGUGUUUUGCUUUCAUCUGUCAGUGGAAGGGCAGCUCUUGGGUAGUUAAAUUUAUCUGGCAUUGUUUAGGAAACAACACCGAGUGAAGCACUGGCCAGAACAAAGACUACAUUGGUGUUCAUGUGUAACAUUCAGCAAGUACACAAAAAGUUGAGCUGUACAUGUAAUGUCCAAUGGGUGUCCAGGCUGUGUACCUGUGUACACAAUCAAUGAGCUGUCCAAAUCAAUACAUAUGUGCACAUGCAUAGAGACAAUUUUUAACUGUGCUCAGAGUAACAUGUGGAGAAGCCUAAAGUCAGAACAAACAACUUUUAAAAGUUGGAAGUAGGGAUAACAUGAGUGAUCUAUAAUGGGAGUGUUGCUCAGUAUGCUUCACUACACAAAGGUAGAUUUAGAAGUAAGAGGAUUUCACUUUUUGGACCAGGAAAAGUUCAAAACUCCAACAUUCUUCCAUUCAAACCAAUCAAUUCAGCAGGACCCACAAGAAUUAGGCUAAUAUGCAUACUGACACUAUCAACCAGAUUGCUCUAUGAUCAUGGCUCACGAAAAAGCAAAAGAAGUUCAGACCAUAUUUUCAAAUUGGGAAACAUGGCUAGCACCCAUGCACAUGUAAAUAAGCAUUCACAGACCACAGAAUCAAUGGGGGAAAUUAGAUCUCAACAAUGAACUUGGGAGGGAAAGGGAAUGAGCAUCCAUAAGAAUGGCCCCUGAUUUGCAAACCAUGGUUUUCAGGGACCUAGCAUUUCAUCUGCACCAAACCAUAUCAGUAUAGAACCAACUUCUUCUUUUUUUAGUAAAGUCAACACAAACUUUCUGCUUAACUUUUUCAAGAUGAAUUACUAAAGAUUGCCUCAAGACAGGUUGAUCAUCUGUAACCUUUGCUCACAAAAAUGACUUAUAUUUAAAAAAGAAUUUUGGGGGAUCAAUAGAGCUGCGUUACUCUGUCAUUUUGAAGAGUGCUGAACAUUUUGAGAAGCAAUUUCCUUAAAGCAACUCAUUGAAAAAAGACUACAAUUCAGAGAUGGAUAUCUAUGCCCAGUUUAAUGCUUUUAUGUCUCAGAUGAUUUAAAAGUUAACAGAUGCACUUAUGCUUAUCCUCUGCUAAGGGAUAAUUUCACUCUUGACAUGUAGAAAUUAGAUCUGUCUGGUACUCGAACCAUCUGUCCACAAAAGGAGAGAAAACUCAAUUUUUAGGACCAGCUGUAAGCACCAACAAGAGUAACUGGGAUCAGAUAUAAUGAAUGAGAUAUGAUUAAUCUUGACUUGACCUUGUAGGUGGGGGCAGCCGGGAAACCUCAGGUGUCCCAGUACCUUUAGAUGCCAUCUGGAAGACAAAUGAAUGUAAAUGAUUCCAUGUCUACACCUAGCACUUAAUAGCAGAAAGUAAAAUGUUCCACCACAAAACCUAAAUCAGUGCAAUAUUAGAGGACUUUGUAAAUACGCACAACUGAAUACACAGAUAGAUCUGUUGACCUCAGUUUGCUUAUGAGUUGCAUCUUCCAACGCUUCUGCCAUUUCCUCCUUAUUUUUCUCUGUUUCCCUCCAUCACCUAACCAGACAAGCUGAUCCUGAACUCCAAUUCUAAGAUUAAUAAAUUGUCUUUGGAGAGCUGCAAAUAUGAAUACUCCAUACAAGGUUUUCCUAAACCCUAUAAUGAGAUCAAAGCAUGGCAGGAAUGAAGACCCUGUGGCUCUCCAAAUGCUGUUGGUCUCCAACUCUCUCAUCAACCCCAACCAGCAUAUCUAGUUUCUAGGGAUUAUGAGAGUUAGAGUCCAGCAUCAUCUGGAGAGCAUUAGGUUCUCCAUUCAUGGUCUGCAGAAAGAGGGUGGACUGUGCUCAGCAGGAGGGAGAAGGAGUAGGUACGCUCCUCUCACAAUGAAAAUAUUGCAGGCAAGACAUUCACCACAUCUAUGGAGUAGCCAGUCAACAACUAAUGAAGCAGCCCUCACCCUGUAAAUAUACCUCUUAGGGGCAUGCGUUUAAACUGAUGCACAGAAGGUUUGAAACAAAAUAUGUCUUGAACAUUUGAUAAAAUUAUUAAUAAAUUGAAGAAACACCUGCGAGCUUCUACCAGAAACACCUGCGAGCUUCUAAGAUUUGACCACUAUGAGACAAGAUGCCGGUGAACUGUCCUAUUUACGUUAUCAUUAAGGCAACUUCAUAUUAACUAUGUUUCUAGAAGUCAACACAAGCAUUAGUACAGAGUUCUCAAAAGUCAUCUUUUAACAUAAAACAUCUGCUUUGCUUACCUAGAUGAAGUUAUCAAAGGGAAAAUAAGGGGAGAACUAGAAAAGCCUCCCGGGCUUCUUUGAUACACAGAUGUUUUGAUCACUUCCAAGGGUUGGGUGUGUGUGUGUGUGUGUGUGUGUGUGUGUGUGUUGCCCAACUGCAGAAAACCUUUGCACAGUACUAUGCACCACUUAAUCACCACAGACUGCCUGUAUGAAUUUGGAUGCUGAUCAUCAAAGCAGCAGAUUGUGUCUGAUUGCAUAUUGGCAGAGGUACACCUUUGGUGAUGAAGGCAUUCAAAACUGCAAAAACACUCUGGAUUAGACAGAUAGGAAAAAAAUGGGAGAUGAAGGGUAAACAGGAGACCAAGCAAUUUCCUGCCUUAAAACAAAUGUGACCACCUAUUUAAGAAUUUAAUUUUCACAGAACUGAACACUGUUUCAGCAACAGUGAGAGCUGCCGAUACCAAAGCACUUAUUAAUGUUAUAUCCCUACAUUUCUCAAAAAAAAAAAAAACCACCAACCCCACAAAAUGUUUUAGUAAGCUGGUUUACAAACUAUGCAAAACAACAAUACACUUUUACAGCAGCUACUACUAUGCUAUAAGAUCCACUGUCCUGUGAUAUCAUGUAUGAGUUUGUACUACUGAUGAAGCCUAGGACAGCGAAACAAGGCUAGUAUUCCAGAAAUCCUUGUCUUAGACUCUGUGAAAGGAUUCGGUGGAACUGCAACAACCUUUCGUGUGGAUUGUUGGACUCUAUGAACAGGCAGGUGGAAUAGACACUGUCACAUAUAUGGACCUUAUGCAUAAACUGAUUAGAGAAUGAAAGCUUUUCAUGAGUCUUAUCUUCAUGGCUUGGUCUGCCUUUCUGCAGACACAUCUCAAGCCAUGACCGUAUCCAUGCACUGAAUCCAUCUAGAGCCUUCUUGCUCUCUGCUCCCUUGAACUCGCCACAUAGGGUCUUUGGUCAAACCACUUUGGUUUUAACUGCUAGGAUCAUCGCCUGCUGUUUUCCUCGUCCACUAAGUCUCCACGACCAGUACCUGCAUUUUAAAGCUUUUCCUUUGAGGAGAGGAAGAACUCCAAAUUAAUACGCAAUGUUGAUGUCAUCCCCUGUAUUUCCUGUAACUCUUGGACAGGGCUAGAUUACUAAAUAGGCACCCACACAUUUUAGGCGCCCCACAACAAUGGAUCAAAGUAAUACUGAUUUGAUCUUGAACAAAAAUUACAGUCACGCUUUCUUAGUUCAAUGUUAUCCCGUAAGAGUGCACACACAAGGGUGUCCCCAAAAUUUCAACUGUCUAGGGGCCUCCACAGGGUUGAAUCCAGCACUGUUCUUGAAAUACUAGUGUGUGCGCGUAAAUAUGGAAUAGAACAACCAGCACUACCAUCACCAGGAACUGCAACUGAACAAGAUUUCCCAAUGUAUGUUUACAAUCAUGAUUGUUACUGUUUUUGUCUAUCUGGGUAUCUCCUAGGUUGUCAAGUUUAUGUCAGUAAGUGCUAAGUAAGCAAUCAAUCAUUAUAACAGCUUUGCUUACCCAGGGAGUCAAUUAGUUCCUCCGAUAUCUUGCACUAUCUUCAAGAGAGCUGUUGCCAGUCAGUAUAUAAUAGACAAUACUGAAUGAGAUGGACCAUGAAUAAAAAGGCCACCUCAGAGCAUUAUGUAAGCACAGUUUACAUGGGAAAGGAACUGGUAUCCCACCAGCUCAUUUUUUUAUUUAAAAUAUAUAUACAGUACCCCACUUUUACCACACCUGGGUCUUGUUCUGCUCCCUCCAGCAUGUCUGCGCCUAGAAUGUCCAUGAGUUGAACAUCAUGCUCAUUUUCUUGUUACAGUACAUUUAUCGCACACCCUUCUUCAGUCAUGGAACUCAAGGCAAUGGACAUGAGGUUCCCAAGCCAUCUCUCAUUCAGCCAUUGACCAGAUACGGCUCAGCUUUAGCAAAAUGGAUGCAUAGUGUGCUCUCAGGUUAACACACACAGAACACAAUCCAUGUAGGGCCUAGCUGAGCAAUCUGUGCAGUUGGUUAUACACAAAGAUGAAGACCUCAAAAUAUGACAUGAGGGAGGUGGGUCAUUGUGAUCCCAACAUAUGUGUGAGACAGAUCCGUAUCUCAGUGUGCCGAGCUGUCCAGACCAGAAAACCACUUCAUCCCUGAAAGCAGACUGGAAAUCUAAUAUCAGCUUGGCAGUACUUCAAUUUACUAGGAUAAUAAUCAGCUAACAGCUGAAUUAGAAGCCAAAUAGAGCAAUAAAUGAUAAUUACAAGCAUCUUAUAUGAUAGCAGUUUUACUAAUAGGAAACAGUAUGUACAAUUAGUCAAAUUCAUAAUCUCAAAACCCCAGAGGUUGUAUAUGCCUUUUCCCAUACUUGUGUUGAGACAUAUUGGGAUGACAAUAGUGUAAUCAGAGUAAGCAGGUGUGCAAGGAUCUCAGCCAAGUCCCUAUUACAGCUCAAGUUGCUCAUUUGUCUUUCUGUGCAAGCACAGAGACAAGCAAAUCCAUUUUCAUUUUAUUAUUCCUUUUCCCGAUUUCCUGUUUAAUACAAUGACAGGAAUAGUGAACUGUUUUUCAGGGUAAGGGCCACAUUCCCUCCAGGGCAGUUUUCUGGGGGCCACAUGGCAGGCAGAGCAAUAAAUUAGAAUGUUGUCUUUGUAUAGGAGGCUAGUUCCUUCAUGGACCCACUCAUACCCAUUUACCUUCCAUGCAAACAGGCAAGAAAUAUUGUAAUCGGAGUCCAAAGACACAUUCCAGCUGGGCAAAAAACACUUGAGGACGGUGCAAGGCAGGGCUGGCAAGGGCAGUGUCCUGGAUGGGGUGUGGUCUGGAGAGAGAGUCCGCAGGCAUGUGCCUCCAGCCUGGCCUGAGCGUCACCAUCCCUCUACUAAGACUACAUGAGUGGGAGAAUCUAUGAGUUAAAACUACUACUGUUUGGCCCAGGAGUGAAAAGGUAGGUGGUGGUCAGUAAAAGAAAGGGGAUGCCAGCAAUAAUAGCUUUGCUCCCGAUGGGGAAGAGGAAAGGAUACUAUGAAACGUGUGUGAAAGAGAAAGAGGGUGUGUGUGUGUGUGUGAUGUACCAGGAAUGUUUAUGGGCCCAGUCUCCAUGCAGUCACUAGAAAAGGCUGAAUGGAGGUGGGCUCUCUUUCCACAACUGACAGCCUAUUUGAAUACAAUUGUACCUAUGAAUACAUCAUCUCCUUCUUGAAUGCAUGGAGGGUUCAGUGAGCCCAGCCAGCAGGAUGCUAUCACUCCCUCUAUCCCAAAAACAGAGGUGGGGGAGAUCCAAAGUGUUAAAAUAAAAGAAGACCAGAUAACAGAGGAACAGACGGCAACGGGUAUCUAUCUAACAUUAUUAAAUCAAACUAACAAAGGAAGCCCUUGGAAAACACAAAGUUGCUCCAGCAGUUUUGCUACAGAGAAUUCUUCAUCAAAGAAGCUUGGUACAAAUUCAUAUCUCAGUGCAGGCACCAUCAAACGUAGAUAUCUGAAUCCUUUUAAUUUUAACCACCCUUCCUUUGAUAAUUCCAUUGUCUCAAAUUAGGAUGGCCUCAGGCUUAAUAGCAUUCAUCCUUAAUUCCUAUCUACCAUUGAUUAAAGCUAUAUUUAAGAGAAUUACUUGGCCUUCUAUAAAAUCAUUACUUUUGUUUUUCUCGUAAAAUAUCGGUCGGAUUAUCAUGUUCCAGAAAUGUUAAAGACCUUUCUCUGAAAGCUGCUUCGUCAAUAGCAUGGAUCGAAUGGGAUAAAUCUAUGUGCCAAUAUUUGCUUUAUUUACUAAUAGUGGCUAAAUGAUCCAAGGGUUGGAGAGGGAGGGGGGAAAGGUCAAGCUAGCAACCUCUAGGGAAGUUUCAUUUGCAAAAGAAACGUACAAUUUCUCAAAUACUCUUUGAAUUGUUCUUCAAGAAAUGGAAGCUGGUGUUCUGCCGGCUGCAUUCAUAUCAGUGAAAAAGGAAGGGAAUGAAGAAUAUGGAGGUCUAAGAUGCCUUGCUCAUAAGGAGGUAAACCAAGGUGAGAAAUAUGUCAACACAUUCACGGGGGAAUGUGAAGUGAGACAAAUCAUCUGAUUUACUCCAGCAAACGAUGGCGGCACAGCAGCCAAACUUUUGAGGACCAAUAAAGGAGGACCCGCCACAGUGUCACAAAUGCACAUUUGAAUUGCGUGUUUUUCUUCCCACUGGUAUUUAUGAUAAUUUUAAAUUUGCAAUGUGAUUACAUGCACGGGGCCACAGGGCUAGUAGCUUAUUAGAUCUAGCAGUGUGGGCUGACUGGUUGGGGCCAGAGCAUGGUUAACCCCCUCUGCCAUGCACCAGGUUGCUCUUAAAAACUGCCUGUGGCACCCUGGUUUGUAUGUGCUCUGGGGCAGGUCGAGGCUGAAAGGAACAGGUCUUAUGGGUCAGGGCCGCAGCUCAGUUGGCAGGCGGAAAAUCCUGGCCUAACUGCACUGGCUGCCAAUUAGUUUCUGGGCACAAUUCAAAGUGCUGGUGUUGUAAAGCCUUACAUGGCUCAGGACCGCAAUACAGUGGUACCUCGGGUUACAUACGCUUCAGGUUACAGACUCCGCUAACCCAGAAAUAGUACCUCGGGUUAAGAACGUUGCUUCAGGAUGAGAACAGAAAUCGAGCGGUGGCAGCGCAGCAGCAGCGGGAGGCCCCAUUAGCUAAAGUGGUUAAGAAUAGUUUCAGGUUAAGAACGGACCUCUGGAACGAAUUAAGUACUUAACCCGAGGUACCACUGUACUGCAAGGACCUAUACGAACCAACCCGGACCCUGGGAUCAUCAUCUGAGGCCCUUCUUCGUGUGCCCCCUGCAGGAGAGGUCCAGAGGUUGGCAACACAAGAGUGGGGCUUUUCUGCGGUGGCUUCUCUGCCCAGAGAGGCUCGCCUGGCAACACCAUUACAUGUCUUCAGGCAACAGACGAAAACAUUCCUCUUUACCCAGGCCUUUAGCCAUGAAACAAUCUAUGGCCUGUUAAAUGUGAGAGGGGGACUGUUAUUAUGAUAUUUUUUUAAUCAAUAUGCUAUGUGUUAUGGGAGCCAGUGUGGUGUAGUUGUUAAGAGCGAUGGACUCGUAAUCUGGUGAACUGGGUUUGAUUCCCCGCUCCUUCACAUGCAGCUGCUGGGUGACCUUGGGCUAGUCACACUUCUUUGAAGUCUCUCAGCCCCACUCACCUCACAGUGUUUGUUGUGAGGGAGGAAAGGAAAGGAGAUUGUUAGCUGCUUUGAGACUCCUUAGGGUAGUGAUAAAGUGGGAUAUCAAAUCCAAACCCUUCUUCUCUUCUUUGUUAUUAUGCCGAGUAAAUUAUGUUCUUGCUGUUGUACACUGCCCCGGGAUCUUUGGAUAAAGGGAGGUUUAUAAAUGGAAUUGAUGAUGAUGAUGAUGAUGAUAAAUACUUCAUUGUGUGAGGGGAUGAUCCCUGCUGCCUUGAAAGAGGCAGUAGCAUGGCGGUUCCUACAGAAAUCAGCCCUGGUCCCCUUAGACUGGAACAACUAUCAACCAGUUGCAAGCACCAUUGGAUGACAAAUAUUUAGAUUCAUUCCAAUCUGGGUUCAGUCCUGGACAUUGGGCUGAGCUGGUGUUGGUUGCCUUGAUGGAUGACCUUUGAAGACAGUAGGACAAGUGGGGGCGGGGUGACCUUGCUCCUGCUUCUUGCUGCUUUUUUCAUGUUUUAAAUAAUGUGCAACUGUUUUAGUAAUGAUUUAAUUGUUUUAUUUUCUUUGUAAACUGCUUUGAGAUUAUUAUUUUUACAAUCAAGUGGUGUAUACAUUUUAUGAAAUAAAGAAAUAGGUAAAUAAUUCUAGGGUUACUGCACUGAAGGCUGUCUUCUGAGUAAUGAAUGAAGCUUGGUUUAUGGUAUGGGCAGCCCCCGCCCUACGGACAAAAGGGAAAGUCUCUUCACCAUGAAUUUGGGUGGGAGGCAUAAAAUCAGCUUCAGAUCUAUGAUUCCUGAUCCCAUGUUCCUAGUUAUAUUUGACUGCCAUUUUUCUUCAGAAGCAAGCACAGAAAGCAUUGUGAAGAGGAUUCACAUUUCCAGACUAUUCAAACGCAGGACACCCAGUUUUUUAAACCAUUUGUGAUAUUUUUCUGUCUCUCUCUCUCUUUUUAUCCUCACACAUCUUACAUCUCCUGGUCCUCAUCCCUUUGUACAAUUCCUGUUUUAUUUUAUUUUUGGUGUGGUUUUUCAUUGUCUCCUCCUCGCACCAUUUACUUUCUGCUACAUCCACAGAUCUAUUUGAUCUUCCAAGGGUGCUUCCGAGAGGUGAUACCUUUUGUAGAUAACUUUUUUUUUAACUUAGCCUUUUUAUCAUUGCCCUAGAAGUUUUAAUGAUCAAAUGUAUAGAUAGGCAUUGGAUUUGCGCAGAUUUUGACCUCCCCACCCCCCUGUACACACCAAUAUCUGUGCAAGUAUUCCUAAAUGAUAAUAAUAUUGUAGACUAAACUGAGCUCAUGAAGCCUGGGGCAAUUUAGCUGAAAGUCAGCACAGGUUAUUUUGUACUCAUUAGAAGUCUAGGAGUUGUUGUUCGAAAUAAGAAUCACCCCAAGUCGGAGAGAAGACUUUCAUUAUAUUGCCUCCUCUAUAGGUUAUAAUUUUCUGUUUAUUUUUCUGUUGCACCCUGUAACUCUUUCCACCUUACCUCAGCCUUAGGACAAGGAUAGCCAAACUAUUGUUGUCUAUGCUCUGGAAACCUCAAUAUUAGAGGUAAAGGAGCUCUUGUAUUUACAUUAUACAGUGGUACCUCAGGUUAAGAACUUAAUUUGUUCUGGAGGUCCGUUCUUAACCUGAAACUGUUCUUAACCUGAAGCACCACUUUAGCUAAUGGGGCCUCUCGCUGCCACCGUGCGAUUUCUGUUCUCAUCCUGAAGCAAAGUUCUUAACCCGAGGUACUAUUUCUGGGUUAGUGGAGUCCGUAACCUGAAGCGUCUGUAACCUGAAGCACCUGUAACUCGAGGUACCACUGUAGAGCAUUUACUGCAUACCAAGAUGCACCAACAUGUGGGAAGAAUGAUGGUCCACUGCCUUUUAUGUCUUUGGUACAGGGCUGGCACACCCAUGAGGCAAGGUGGGCGGCUGCCUCAGGUGGCAGGAAUCACAGGGACCAUAUGGAACUUGCCGAACUGACUGGGAGACUCCGAGACCAGAGAGAAGGGACGGUGGAAGAAGAUUGUUAGAAGUUUAAAGAAUAUUUGAAAAAAUAUGUUAAUAUUUAAAUCUUAGAAUAGCUUUGGAAGUGUGGAUAUAGGCUGUAGGGUUAGAAGUAGAAGAUAGCGUAUUUUAAAGUGUGAUUUAAAAAAUGGUUAAAAUUAUGAUAUAUGUAAACUGCUAAAGAUGAGGUAAAAUGAAAAUCAGAUAGGGGGGAAUUGGGGAAGCUCACCUAACAAUGUUUUGAAAAAAAUAAGAAUUUGUUUGUAUUGUUUCUUUUUCUGUUUGUGUUGUUUAUUUGUGUUAUAAAAUGAAUUUAAAAAAUUGGGAAAUAAAAGAAAAAAGGAAUCACAGGGCAGCAGAUCUGGCCUCCAAGGAAUGCAUUGCCAGCUGCUGCUAAUGCUAAUGCUACUGCUGUGACAACAGCUUCAGUAUGCUCCUUGAGACCACAUCUGCCAUCUCCUCAGCAGUCCCCCACCUCUCAGUGAAUAGGGGGUGAUACAUGUCUCCUCCCACUCUUGUUCCUGAGGCAGAUCUUUAUCCCCCCCCCCCUUUUUCCUGAUCUUCAUUCACCCCUUCUUGCCCGGCCAGUGAGGGGAAAUCAUUUUGUGCUUCGUCUCAGGUGCCCAAAAGUCUUGGGCCGGCCCUGCUUAGGUAUAAGCACCAGGAAGCUGCCCAUAAGGCUGCCUUUGUUUGAAACAGUCCUCGGUGAGAAGGAAGAAUGCCAUAGACAAGCCCAAGGUUUUAAUUUGCCAUUUAAAGGAAAACAAGAGAACUGUAAUUUUCAAUAGAAGGAAGAGCAGCAGUUCCUGUUUUAGAUUCAACUCAUUUAAAAGGCUAAUGUGCUGGCAGAUCCAGUAAGGAAGAAAAAAGUAGACUGUAACAAAAAGGCAUAUUUCUAUUGUGCUUAUUCUUUCACUUCUAAACCUUUAAUACCCAGUUGACAAUAGCGCAUCUUGCAAGUUAAAAUUAUGAAAUGUGUUCUGCUUGCUAUAUUGUGAGAAAGCGCCAUGAUCAUAUCACUUCAUUAUCAAUUCAC